AUGCACGCUGGCGGCGUGCCUCAUACCUGCACGUCGAGCGCACGGACGAGAAGCUUGCUUCUCUGAUGUUAGCGGCGGACGGGUGAGUAACACGUGGAUAACCUACCUAUAAGACUGGGAUAACUUCGGGAAACCGGAGCUAAUACCGGAUAAUAUUUUGAACCGCAUGGUUCAAAAGUGAAAGACGGUCUUGCUGUCACUUAUAGAUGGAUCCGCGCUGCAUUAGCUAGUUGGUAAGGUAACGGCUUACCAAGGCAACGAUGCAUAGCCGACCUGAGAGGGUGAUCGGCCACACUGGAACUGAGACACGGUCCAGACUCCUACGGGAGGCAGCAGUAGGGAAUCUUCCGCAAUGGGCGAAAGCCUGACGGAGCAACGCCGCGUGAGUGAUGAAGGUCUUCGGAUCGUAAAACUCUGUUAUUAGGGAAGAACAUAUGUGUAAGUAACUGUGCACAUCUUGACGGUACCUAAUCAGAAAGCCACGGCUAACUACGUG
rnacentral:rRNA from 1 species